UGUUUCCUACUUUAUAAUAAUUAAGUAUGUAAUGUAAGAUGUUACUUACUUUAUAAUGUUUUUGUUUUUCUCAAUUUAAGAUGCUAUUUAAGUUGUCAGGUAAUAAAGUAUUGAUUAAGUUUUUCUAGCAAAUUGUAGUUCUGUAUUCCUUUUAUUUAUUGUUAAAAAAGGUUUAGUACAUAAUGUUUAAAAGGUUUAGUAUAUAAUGUUUAAAAGGCUUAGUAUAUAAUGUUUAAAAAGUUUAGUAUAUAAUGUUUAAAAAGCUUAGUAUAUCAUGUUUAAAAUGUUUAGUAUAUAAUGUUUAAAGAUGUAUCUCAAGAGUGUCUGUAAUAUAUUUUUUUAUUAUUAUUGUCUACUUGAACUGUAAGAUUUUUUUUUUAUUACAUUGGAUGACUGAGGACAGCCAUGUUGUCAGGAAGGGCCGAAUGUGGAAUGAUUAAUGAAUGUAAAUGAUUUAAAUAGUUAAUCUGUGAAGUGUGAAUGAAAGGAAGAAUGAGUGAAAGGGAUAUAGUGUGUUCGGCCAUGAUAGAUUUGAAUUGAGAGGACAGACGGUUAACGAGCGAGCGGGUGCACGGUGAAUUAGGUAUAACUUUAAAAUAAACGUGUUAAGGUGAUAUUUCGUUUCAUUGCUGGUACUCUGACAUCCUCAAUCCCACAUAUAUAUAUAUUUUUUUAUUAUGUAU
rnacentral:misc_RNA from 1 species